GAUCCUGGCUCAGGAUGAACGCUAGCGGCAGGCUUAACACAUGCAAGUCGAGGGGCAGCGGGGUGUAGCAAUGCACUGCCGGCGACCGGCGCACGGGUGCGUAACGCGUAUGCAACCUACCCAUAACAGGGGCAUAACACUGAGAAAUUGGCACUAAUUCCCCAUAACAUUCGAAGAGGCAUCUCUUUGGGUUGAAAACUCCGGUGGUUAUGGAUGGGCAUGCGUUGUAUUAG
rnacentral:rRNA from 1 species